rnacentral:rRNA from 1 species
GCUGGCUUUUAGGAGCAUGUGCACACCUAUUCCAUUUUUAACUCCCCUGUGCACUUUGUAUAGACCUGAAUAUCUUUCGAGUGUCGGUCAUGGAUGGACACCCGGUUUGAGAACUGCUGCGUUGAAAAGCCAGCUUUUCUUGUCUUUUCAGGUCUGUAUUUCAUCUAUAUACUCCAUAAGAAUGUAUCAGAAUGCUGUUUUGAGGCCCUGGUGCCUUUAAAAGAAUAAAUACAACUUUCAACAACGGAUCUCUUGGCUCUCGCAUCGAUGAAGAACGCAGCGAAAUGCGAUAAGUAAUGUGAAUUGCAGAAUUCAGUGAAUCAUCGAAUCUUUGAACGCACCUUGCGCUCCUUGGUAUUCCGAGGAGCAUGCCUGUUUGAGUGUCAUGAAAUUCUCAACCUUUCUGGCUUUUACAAAGGCAGUCAGGCUUGGAUUGUGGGAGUUGCAGGCUUUCUUAAAGUCGGCUCUCCUUAAAUGCAUUAGCAAAAUCAUUGCUGGAUCAUCAUUGAUAUGAUAAUUAUCUAUAUCAUUGAAGACUGGUUCGGACUUUGCUUAUAACUGUCCUUUCAAAUGGACUACUUGAUAUUUUUGACCUCAAAUCAGGUAGGACUACCCGCUGAACUUAAGCAUAUCA